AAUCAACGCUGGCGGCGUGCCUCAGACAUGCAAGUCGAACGAUUAAAGCUCUCUUCGGAGAGUGUAUAGAGUGGCGCACGGGUGAGUAACACGUAAGUAAUCUACCUUUGAGUGGGGAAUAACAGUCGGAAACGACUGCUAAUACCGCAUAAUGCAGCGGCAUCGCAAGAUGACAGUUGUUAAAGGAGCAAUCCGCUUAAAGAGGAGCUUGCGGCAGAUUAGCUUGUUGGUAAGGUAACGGCUUACCAAGGCUACGAUCUGUAUCCGGUCUAAGAGGACGGUCGGACACACUGACACUGAAUAACGGGUCAGACUCCUACGGGAGGCAGCAGUCGGGAAUUUUGGGCAAUGGGCGAAAGCCUGACCCAGCAACGCCGCGUGAAGGAUGAAGUAUUUCGGUAUGUAAACUUCGAAAGAAUGGGAAGAAUCAAUGACGGUACCAUUUAUAAGCUCCGGCUAACUACGUGCCAGCCGCCGCCGU
rnacentral:rRNA from 1 species